CAUGCUAUUUUGUAUAAGGAGGUCUAAAAUAAAGAAUGACUAAUGUCUUGUGAGGCAUUGAUUUAAAUCCAGCAAUUUAUGAUUUCAACACCAUAUUGGUGAUUCAGAUCUUGGCAAUGAUUUGUCUAAAAUAAUAUAAUUCCUACCAAAUGAGAGUACAUCUAGUUUAAAAAAAGCAAUCAUUUGAAUUCACAUUAAAAUUAGAAAUUUUCAUUUUCAUUAUUCAACAAAAAAUAGGAGAAAAUUCUGGAUCCCAGCAGCUUAUGUCCUUUGCACCAAUAUUUAUUCAAGCAAAGGAAAAACUGAAGAAGGCGUAGAAUGAACUCUAAGACUGUUAAAGAAUUGCUGGCAUUAUUUCUCCCUAGAUCACGUGUGAGCCUGGGUUGCCUGCUAUUCCUGAGGCAGAGGAUCGAGGAUGAAAGUCUGUGUGUCAGAGCCUGUUUUCACAACUGCAUUUGGAGAUCUGUCUUAUUGAUUAGGAGAAAAAGGGGGAGGGAAUAGGAGUGUGAGGUGAGGGGAGGACCGACUGACUACUGGCUUAUUGCAGCUCAAGACAUUUUCUUCCGGAAAGAUGUCAAACAACUGAGACACAGCAACAGAGGAAGUAGAAAGGUGGAAAAAUAAGAAGAGAGACCCUUUGGAAGAAAUGAAGGCAUUUCUUAUGAGAGCCUUGAGGCUUUUUUUUUAAUCCUUCCAACAUCUGACCUGCAAGGGUUAGAAUGCCAGCGUCAUGCAAAUGCCGCAGUCCAGCAGGUCUGAGAGAGGGUGGAUGCUAGACACUGAACCGCUUCCUGAAGAGCACUGAAUUUUCUAUACCAGAUUCUACUUCAGUGGCCAGGACCUUUAUGGCCACUGAUUCUUUUGCUCUGGGUUCUGAAAAAACAUCGUGGAUCCAUCCCUAAAGUAGAAAUGUUAUUUUCCGUCCCGCAAGCAAGGCUAAAGAUUGGAGGAGAAUGAAUGUGAAUCUAAUUCAGGAUUGCGGUCGUGCCAUUCAAAGUUUUCAGCUUCAGAACAAAAUGAUUUGGGAAAUAUCAGUUUUCUUACUCUAUCAACAAUGUUUAAAAGUUGUAGGUGGUUCAAGUGACUUGACUCAAAUAAUGACAAUCUUUGCAUGUCAAUAAUUUCUACAGUUUAAGGAGUGAAAGGUAGUUUUGAGUUUGGAAAAGAAGAAGCUGUUACUAUCAGCCUGUAGUGGGAUUAAAUGUUGAAUAUGGGGAAGAGGCAAAAAGUAAAUAGAUGCCCGAAACUUAUCCUUGCACUGAGGAUGGGUUUAAAGUGCUGUAUAUCCUAGGGCCCACCUUACUGUAGAGGUAUAAUGGGGAAAUAUUUCAAUUAGAAGCCCAUUAACAAGCAUUUAAUCCUUCUUUAAGGCAUUAGAGGAAAUAGAAUAAAACAUUUACUGUACAAAUCUGCUGCAAGCAGACUUUAACCCACUUAUAGACUUAUCCUUCUGAUGGAUUAUACUAUGGCUACUCAGGAGUCAGAAUAGUAAACAUUUUAUUUGUGCUCCUUUUUUCCAAAGUUGUGGAAUCUGUUCUAAGAAGUGUCUUGAUCAAUCAGCUGAUAUUAUUGUUUUGAAUGUAUGUGUCUAUAUUGCCUACUUAUUUGAUCUUUUCCAAUCCCUACUUGAAAAGGUGGGGGUUUUUAUACAACAGCAACAAAAGUUUUACUGAAUGUAAUCUUGACGACUAAGUGAUUCAGAUUAUUUGAAGACGAAUUCUACUGGAUCAUAUCGGACUUUUCCUAGUCCCUGAGACCCUAACUUGUGAGGUUUUUUAGCAACAAUCACAAGUCAGGCUCUUGGGACCUAGGCGGAGGGGAACCAGCAGCUUUGGACUUUAUUGAUUGUUUAUCUGCAAUAUUAACAGAACCAAAGGAGAUUUUCUUAUCUGGGGGAAAAUAUUUAUUUCAGAUGUUAAGCACUAGUUUUAUGCUACAAAAAAAAAUUGUUGCUAUGUAUUGUACAAUAUCAAGAUUCUACAUAAUUUGUAUGUUUGGAAACCUAUAUUGUAGUGGAUAACGUGUAACAUUUAGAAUUAAAAUGUAAAUGAAUGACAUAUCUACAUAAAAAAUCAGAUACUGAAGGAUAAAUGCACUGUUUUCAACCAUAAUUUUGCUAUUAUGGAUCCUUCUGGUGGAUAAUCAAAACAAAACACAUUUCCAAAUGUAUUGCUAUAAUAUUUAAUGAACUUUUUGAAACUUACAGAUUAUAUAUUGAUCUGUGAGGCCUAGCAAAUGGAUUCAUCCUGUUGCCUUUGGGGUAAUAAUGUGAGCGUGCAAGAAAAUUGUUGCUUCUCUUUUCCUGUAAGGCAGUGCAGAGAUUCCUUUGUAGUUGUUACUAUUUCUCUUAGCCUAUAUAAUAAUACAAUAAAGAUUCUCUCAUUUGGUGUAUUAACCCCUUACUCUGAAAGAAAAGAGAAAGCUGGUCUCAAAUUCAUAAUGCUGUGUUGAAGUCACUUUGCCCACAGAACUACAUACUUUUCUUGUACAUACUGUAUCUCCGCAGAGAAGACAGGACACCGGGAAUUAAGCUCAAACUUUAGUCUCUUCCCUCACUUUUACUUUUCACUUAUAAAAACAGACUAACUGUUGUGUUGUCCCCAUAUGCUGAAUACUUCAAUGACUUCAACAUGAGAUCUGCCAGGACACAGCUAAUUUGUAAUGUCUGUCACUCCUAAAGUACUGAACCAGAACACAGAGAAUUUGACUGUAUUUCUUAAUAUUUUAUAAGUAGUUUGGUCCUGAUUAACUUUUUUUUCAAUUUCUUGUAUCUAACCCAAGAUGGUACAGCACCCUGUUAUUAGUGUACUAAUGUCACAUUUCACUGAUUGAAACAAAUGCUUUAUUUAGGGCAAGCAUCUAAACAAUUUGGUCAUUUUGAAACUGAUAUUUUGGCUCCAGUUUAUUUUUUCCACAUAUGUGGGAGGAAUUGUGUUUCAUUGUAACGCUGUUGUUAAAAUAAAUUAUUAUUAAACAUCAGAAUAAUUCAA